rnacentral:rRNA from 1 species
GACGAACGCUGGCGGCGUGCUUAACACAUGCAAGUCGAGCGGUAAGGCCCUUUCGGGGGUACACGAGCGGCGAACGGUGAGUAACACGUGGGUGACCUGCCCUCAGCGUCUGGGAUAAGACCUGGGAAACUAGGGUCUAAUACCGGAUAUGACUCCAUGACGCAUGUUGUGGGGUGGAAAGCCUUGUGCGGCUGAGGAUGGGCCCGCGGCCUAUCAGCUUGUUGGUGGGGUGAUGGCCUACCAAGGCGACGACGGGUAGCCGGCCUGAGAGGGCGACCGGCCACACUGGGACUGAGACACGGCCCAGACUCCUACGGAGGCAGCAGUGGGGAAUCUUGCGCAAUGGGCGAAAGCCUGAUCCAGCGAUGCCGCGUGUGUGAAGAAGGCCUGCGGG